rnacentral:rRNA from 1 species
UACGGAGGGUGCGAGCGUUGUCCGGAAUCACUGGGCGUAAAGGGCGCGUAGGUGGCGCGGAAAGUCAACGGUGAAAGCUUGGGGCUCAACCCCGAGUCGGCCGUCGAUACUUCUGGGCUUGAGCACUGUAGAGGCAGGUGGAAUUCCGGGUGUAGCGGUGGAAUGCGUAGAGAUCCGGAAGAACACCGGUGGCGAAGGCGGCCUGCUGGGCAGUAGCUGACACUGAUGCGCGACAGCGUGGGGAGCAACAGG